UACAGAGGUCUCAAGCGUUGUUCGGAUUCACUGGGCGUAAAGGGUGCGUAGGCGGUCGGGUAAGUCUGAUGUGAAAUCCCACAGCUUAACUGUGAAACUGCAUUGGAUACUAUCCGGCUCGAGGAAUGGAGGGGAGACUGGAAUACUUGGUGUAGCAGUGAAAUGCGUAGAUAUCAAGUGGAACACCAGUGGCGAAGGCGAGUCUCUGGACAUUUCCUGACGCUGAGGCACGAAAGCCAGGGGAGCAAACGGG
rnacentral:rRNA from 1 species